rnacentral:rRNA from 1 species
CCUGGCUCAGAUUGAACGCUGGCGGCAUGCCUUACACAUGCAAGUCGAACGGCAGCACGGGAGCAAUCCUGGUGGCGAGUGGCGAACGGGUGAGUAAUAUAUCGGAACGUGCCCAGUCGUGGGGGAUAACGUAGAGAAAUUUACGCUAAUACCGCAUACGAUCUAAGGAUGAAAGCGGGGGACUCGAAAGGGCCUCGCGCGAUUGGAGCGGCUGAUAUCAGAUUAGGUUGUUGGUGAGGUAAAAGCUCACCAAGCCGACGAUCUGUAGCUGGUUUGAGAGAACGACCAGCCACACUGGGACUGAGACACGGCCCAGACUCCUACGGGAGGCAGCAGUGGGGAAUUUUGGACAAUGGGCGAAAGCCUGAUCCAGCAAUGCCGCGUGCAGGAAGAAGGCCUUCGGGUUGUAAACUGCUUUUGUACGGAACGAAACGGUCCGCCCUAAUAACAGGAUGGGCUAAUGACGGUACCGUAAGAAUAAGCACCGGCUAACUA